GUAAUACGGAGGGUGCAAGCCGUAAAGCGCACGCAGGCGGUCUGUCAAGUCGGAUGUGAAAUCCCCGGGCUCAACUGGGAACUGCAUUCGAAACUGGCAGGCUAGAGUCUUGUAGAGGGGGGUAGAAUUCCAGGUGUAGCGGUGAAAUGCGUAGAGAUCUGGAGGAAUACCGGUGGCGAAGGCGGCCCCCUGGACAAAGACUGACGCUCAGGUGCGAAAGCGUGGGGAGCAAACAGGAUUAGAUACCCUGGUAGUCCACGCCGUAAACGAUGUCGAUUUGGAGGUUGUGCCCUUGAGGCGUGGCUUCCGGAGCUAACGCGUUAAAUCGACCGCCUGGGGAGUACGGCCGCAAGGUUAAAACUCAAAUGAAUUGACGGGGGCCCGCACAAGCGGUGGAGCAUGUGGUUUAAUUCGAUGCAACGCGAAGAACCUUACCUGGUCUUGACAUCCACAGAACUUUCCAGAGAUGGAUUGGUGCCUUCGGGAACUGUGAGACAGGUGCUGCAUGGCUGUCGUCAGCUCGUGUUGUGAAAUGUUGGGUUAAGUCCCGCAACGAGCGCAACCCUUAUCCUUUGUUGCCAGCGGUUAGGCCGGGAACUCAAAGGAGACUGCCAGUGAUAAACUGGAGGAAGGUGGGGAUGACGUCAAGUCAUCAUGGCCCUUACGACCAGGGCUACACACGUGCUACAAUGGCAUAUACAAAGAGAAGCGACCUCGCGAGAGCAAGCGGACCUCAUAAAGUAUGUCGUAGUCCGGAUUGGAGUCUGCAACUCGACUCCAUGAAGUCGGAAUCGCUAGUAAUCGUAGAUCAGAAUGCUACGGUGAAUACGUUCCCGGGCCUUGUACACACCGCCCGUCACACCAUGGGAGUGGGUUGCAAAAGAAGUAGGUAGCUUAACC
rnacentral:rRNA from 1 species